UAUUCAGCGGCGGACGGGUGAGUAAUGCCUAGGAAUCUGCCUGGUAGUGGGGGAUAACGUCCGGAAACGGGCGCUAAUACCGCAUACGUCCUGAGGGAGAAAGUGGGGGAUCUUCGGACCUCACGCUAUCAGAUGAGCCUAGGUCGGAUUAGCUAGUUGGUGGGGUAAAGGCCUACCAAGGCGACGAUCCGUAACUGGUCUGAGAGGAUGAUCAGUCACACUGGAACUGAGACACGGUCCAGACUCCUACGGGAGGCAGCAGUGGGGAAUAUUGGACAAUGGGCGAAAGCCUGAUCCAGCCAUGCCGCGUGUGUGAAGAAGGUCUUCGGAUUGUAAAGCACUUUAAGUUGGGAGGAAGGGCAGUAAGUUAAUACCUUGCUGUUUUGACGUUACCAACAGAAUAAGCACCGGCUAACUUCGUGCCAGCAGCCGCGGUAAUACGAAAGGGUGCAAGCGUUAAUCGGAAUUACUGGGCGUAAAGCGCGCGUAGUGGUUCAGCAAGUUGGAUGUGAAAUCCCCGGGCUCAACCUGGGAACUGCAUCCAAAACUACUGAGCUAGAGUACGGUAGAGGGUGGUGGAAUUUCCUGUGUAGCGGUGAAAUGCGUAGAUAUAGG
rnacentral:rRNA from 1 species